GAGUUUGAUCAUGGCUCAGGAUGAACGCUAGCGGCAGGCUUAACACAUGCAAGUCGAGGGGUAUUCUAGCAAUAGGAGAGACCGGCGCACGGGUGCGUAACGCGUAUGCAAUCUACCUUUCACAGAGGGAUAGCCCAGAGAAAUUUGGAUUAAUACCUCAUAGUAUAAUGACUCGGCAUCGAGAUAUUAUUAAAGUCACAACGGUGAAAGAUGAGCAUGCGUCCCAUUAGCUAGUUGGUAAGGUAACGGCUUACCAAGGCGACGAUGGGUAGGGGUCCUGAGAGGGAGAUCCCCCACACUGGUACUGAGACACGGACCAGACUCCUACGGGAGGCAGCAGUGAGGAAUAUUGGACAAUGGGUG
rnacentral:rRNA from 1 species